AGAGUUUGAUCCUGGCUCAGGACGAACGCUGGCGGCGUGCUUAACACAUGCAAGUCGAGGGGAGUGAGCAAUCACUCACCGGCGAACGGGUGCGUAACACGUGAGCAACCUAUCGAGCUCGGGGGGAUAGCCGGCCCAACGGCCGGGUAAGACCGCAUACGCUCACUCUGGGGAGUCCUGGGGUGAGGAAAUCCUUCGGGAGGAGUUCGCGGGGCUCGCGGCCUAUCAGCUAGUUGGCGGGGUAACGGCCCACCAAGGCGGUGACGGGUAGCUGGUCUGAGAGGAUGGCCAGCCACAUUGGGACUGAGAGACGGCCCAGACUCCUACGGGAGGCAGCAGUGGGGAAUCUUGCGCAAUGGCCGAAAGGCUGACGCAGCGACGCCGCGUGUGGGAGGACGCCCUUCGGGGUGUAAACCACUGUUGCCCGGGACGAACCUGGCUUUUCGAGGCCACUGACGGUACCGGGUGAGGAAGCACCGGCUAACUCUGUGCCAGCAGCCGCGGUAAUAC
rnacentral:rRNA from 1 species